CCCAGAGCCAAUCAGUCCGUGGCUUGAGGAAUAGGGUUCUCUGAUUGGCCAGGCUUGUGUCACGUGACCGUGGCAGGCUUUGCCCCACCUUUAGAGGUUCUACUCGGAAUACGCCCCCCAGGAAAGAACGUUGGUUGCCAGAAGACAAGGCGGAAGAGAGACAGAGAGAGAGAGAGAGAGAGAGAGAGUCGCUAACCUCAGAACCCCUGCAACACCCAAGCGUGAGGACUGGUUCACAUCGUGGAUUCUCCACCUAGCUGUUACCCACAACUAGUGAUGGCUGAAGAGCCGUGAAUGGGGAGAACACCAGCUCACGUUUGGCCAGUACCAGUGUGCCGGGCACUAUUGCAACACAUCUCUCUCUUGUCUCGGGGCUGAAAGCAAGAAGGGGAGAGGGAAGGCCUUGUAAAUGAAGCAGCAAACCGUAUCUGGCCCAUGCCCUCCGGGCCUUGCAAGGAGCUGACCACCAUCCACAGAAAUAAGAGGACCCGACGUGAGACGGAAAGUGAGAGCGGCUGAUUCCCCCCUUCUGGAGAACACAGCGGCACCAGGCCGGCCUGGCCUUUCGCCUGACCGCCCGCGUUUAAGACACCAUCCCUUUAUCUGGCUUUCAUUAGAGCCUCGGCCGCGCCUCUUUUGUGGGAGAGACUUAUGGGAACCCAGGCAGUUUCCCAGCCGCUGUGAUGUUGCUAAAGAUUAAAAAGGAGCUUUGAAGCUGUACCAGUUCUCUCUGCGCCCCCUCGGUACAGGGCCUCAGAAAGACCCAAGCCAUCUGGCAAACCUGACAUAAAGACAAAAUAAAGUGAUUGAGACUGGCUCUUCA
rnacentral:lncRNA from 1 species